rnacentral:rRNA from 1 species
GUCCACGCCGUAAACGUUGGGCGCUAGGUGUGGGGCUCUUUCCACGAGUUCCGUGCCGCAGCAAACGCAUUAAGCGCCCCGCCUGGGGAGUACGGCCGCAAGGCUAAAACUCAAAGGAAUUGACGGGGGCCCGCACAAGCGGCGGAGCAUGCGGAUUAAUUCGAUGCAACGCGAAGAACCUUACCAAGGCUUGACAUACGCAGAAAACCGGCAGAGAUGUCGGGUCCGUAAGGGCUGCGUACAGGUGGUGCAUGGUUGUCGU